UACGUAGGGUGCGAGCGUUAAUCGGAAUUACUGGGCGUAAAGCGUGCGCAGGCGGUUCGUUGUGUCGGCGGUGAAAGCCCCGGGCUUAACCUGGGAAUGGCCGUUGAAACUGGCGAACUGGAGUGUGGCAGAGGGGGGUGAAAUUCCGCGUGUAGCAGUGAAAUGCGUAGAGAUGCGGAGGAACACCGAUGGCGAAGGCAGCCCCCUGGGCUAACACUGACGCUCAGGCACGAAAGCGUGGGGAGCAAACAGG
rnacentral:rRNA from 1 species